ensembl:processed_transcript Gm13663 predicted gene 13663
CCAGGUCCAUUCCUGGGUUCCCAGAAAAUGUCUACAAGUCAUAUAUUUUGCAGAGGCUUAUAAAGACAAACCCAUAAAGUUAGAUUUUUCCCAGCAGGUCCAAUCAGAGGCAAGCAUAUAUCCUGAAGCACUUCCUGUCUGUGUACCUCCCACUUACAUCCAAUCAGGGGCAAGCAUACAUUCUGCCUACAUACCUCACACCUACAUCCAGUACGGUUGAGCCAAACAAACUUGUUUAGGGGAGUGAAGCAUGUGGCUUGUCUUCUCCCAGAAGCAAUAGCUUCUAACAUUUCGGGGAAAGAUCUGUCCUUGGGCAAGACACUUAAAGGUUAGCAACAGUUUUUUGUUCCAUGGAUCUCUUAGGCACAGUAAUUAAAACUUAAAACAUACCUUUUUGGCUCUCACAACGUUUGCCUUGCAAGCCAGAACACCAGAGUUUGAUCCCCUUCAGAUCCUGUCAGCUUUUCAGGCAACGGGCAGAAUCCAGAAAGGUAACAGCACAAGGAUAUGGGCAUCUUUGCAGGACGGGUGGCUUUCCUUCCUUCCUUUUUCCAUUUAUCCUUUCUUUAGAAGGCAGAUAAGGCGGCAUUAUUGAUUGAGGAGU